UCGGUGGGGUAACCUUUAUGGAGCCAGCCGCCUAAGGUGGGACAGAUGAUUGGGGUGAAGUCGUAACAAGGUAGCCGUAUCGGAAGGUGCGGCUGGAUCACCUCCUUUCUAUGGAGA
rnacentral:rRNA from 2 species